AGUUGUGUGGGCGAUAAGAAUGGCUGGUAGGAAUCAAAAUGAGCGUGAAUGGGUGGUAACAAGAGGAGGAAGAGUGGGAGCCGAAUGGGAUGUGAGAAAAUGGAAGAAUGAGAUAAACAAAGAAGUGAAAUGUGUGGGACUGAAUGAAUGGAAUAAUGAGAUGGAAAGAAAGAAGACCCUGGAAUGGUACAAGGAGAAAGAGGCCCCGAGGUAUGAAAGGUGGUAUGAUGGAAGCCUGGGCGGUGAUCUUCUCUUCCGAGCGAGGGCACAGUGUAUGGAUGUGAAUGCAAGGAGUUACAGGUGGUCUGAGUCCCGCAGCAAAGUGUGCCAGAUGUGUGACAUGGGAGAGGAUGAGACGGUGGAACAUGUGGUGCUGGAGUGUGUGAAGUAUGCCAGAGACAGGAAUGAGAUGAUGCAAGUGAUACUGACUGAGUUAGGGCAUGAUAGGAAUGAAAGAGUGGAGAAGACAGGAAAGGAAUGGAUGGUGUUGUUGCUGGGACUGUGUAGAGAGGCGAAUGAAAGGAUGAUUGAGGCGGUGAAAGAGUUUUUGGAGAGAAUGUGGCGUGCCAGGUGUAUGAACAAUUAGGAUAGAGGAUGCUGUUCGUUUCUCCUUUUUUUUCCCCUUUCUACAGGAGUUGCCGAUCCAAAGGCCUGGCUCAGGAGUGAUCCUGUGCCACCUGUACCAUCAAGAUCAAGAUCAAGAUCAUUUUGCCGCUAAAUUUCCUGCCACCAGCUGAUCGCAAUUCGCAAGACGCAAGCCUUCAGGAGAACCCAGACCAAUCUCCUCGAGUCCCAAAUUUACAAUUCAUUUUAGGACACUGAGGUUUCGUGGGAUGCUGGGUGGCGCUCAGAGGACACUUAAAUAAGUGAAUUAUUAUUGUAUAGCCUUGAAAUUCUAGAUACAAAUGUAGAGAGAGAGAAGAUAUAAAAGCAAGAAGACCACCAUCACCACCACCAGCAAAAUGGAAGAAGAGGUGGAGCCAAGUGUGGUGGGGGGCAGUGGAGGUCUCCCACCUCCCCCAUCUCAUCCCCCACCAUCACCACAAUUAGAAAGAAUUUGGCAAACUUCCUGGAAUUAAAGAGAGUGCAUCAGGAGAAGCUGGAGAAGAUGGAGAUGAGCUGGCUAAGCUUCAGAAAUACAACAAGGAUUACAAGCAGCUUCUGUAGAGACUGAAGACUUUGUUGGAUAAGAUGAGGGCCAGGGAAUUGAGAAGCUUGGUCAACUCCUAACUUUAUCAAGGCUGAUGACAGAAAUUUACUAAAGGUGGACGUUUUCAUGAUUGUUCAGUAUUAUCAAGUACUCUGUCACCCAGCAGUGAAGCAUGUGAAGUUACAAAGGAAUUAUGAGUGGCUAGCAAAAUAUUUUGUUCAUGGUGACUGUAAACUAAGAGCACAACUCCUUCACCCCUGAGAUACAGCAGUGUCUGGUCCCACUACUGGAAGGAAUGACAGGCUGCAUCCACACAUUUUUCUGGGAGUAUUAAUAGAUGGUUGUGAUGGUGAGUAUGGUUUUAGUAGUGAUGCAGAGAGAGAGAGAGAAUUGUAAUUGUUUGUGCUGGGCUAAAUUAAGCAGUCUCACUUUAGCUUUCAAUAAUGCCCUCUUUACUCACAACUACACUAAUACAUUGUAGUCCAUGCAGUAAUAUUAGCUAUUGUAACCUUGGUACACAAGCAGGAAAGAGAAAGAGGCUCCAUAGGAGUACUAGUUUUAUUCUCAACUUUGUCUCAUAUCUUAUCUUCACAAGUUCCUCCCUCCAGCAUCACAUGGCUUCCCCACUUCAUAAAAGGGAGAAGUCUCAUUCAGUCAGCUGCUAUAGCUUUCUCAUAUUUACUUUAUAAACUUUAUAAAAUGUCACUUUAUCUCUUUUUACACUUAUUUUAUAAAAUGUAUCUUGUUUUAUACUUAUUCUAUAAAAUGUUAACUUGU